rnacentral:rRNA from 1 species
AUGGCGCUCGUUCCACACGGCGGCGGCGCGUGCGGAUCGGCGACGAUGGCGAUACCUAUGCUGACCGCGGACAACUACACGGUCUGGGCCAUCCAGGCGCAGGCGAUCCUCGACGUGCACACCGUGUGGGAGGCGGUGGCGCCAGGCGACGCGGCGGUGAACGCGCGGAAGGACAAGACGGCGCGUGCGUUGCUACUCGGGGCGUUGCCGGAGGAUGUGUUGCUGCAGAUGUCGACGAAGCUCACCGCCAAGGAGGUAUGGGACUCCCUGAAGGUGAGGUUCGUCGGCGCCCAUCGGGUCCGUGCGGCGAAGCUGGCGACGCUGUGCGGCGAAUUUGACCGCCUGAAGAUGGCGGACGGCGAGGAGCUCGACGUGUACGGCGGGAGGCUCGCGGCGAUGGCGGCGAGGUACGCCAACCUCGGGGAGACGCUGGGCGACAUGGCGCUCGUCAAGAAGCUGCUUGAUACGGUGCCGGAUCGGCUCAUCCCCGUCGUCGCCGGCAUCGAGCAGUUCCACGACGUG